AUUGAACGCUGGCGGCAGGCCUAACACAUGCAAGUCGAGCGGAGCGGCGGACGGGUUAGUAAUGCCUAGGGAUCUGCCUGGUAGUGGGGGAUAACGUCCGGAACCGGGCACUAAUGCCGCAUACUAUCAGAUCAGCCUAGGUCGGAUUAGCUAGUUGGUGGGGUAAAGGCCUACCAAGGCGACGAUCCGUAACUGGUCUGAGAGGAUGAUACGUCACACUGGAACUGAGACACGGUCCAGACUCCUACGGGAGGCAGCAGUGGGGAAUAUUGGACAAUGGGCGAAAGCCUGAUCCAGCCAUGCCGCGUGAGUGAUGACGGCUUUCGGGUUGUAAAGCUCUGUUAAUCGGGACGCGGUACCGGAAUAGAAAGCCACGGCUAACUACGUGCCAGCAGCCGCGGUAAUUC
rnacentral:rRNA from 1 species